AAAGGUAACGGGAUAACAUUAAAUUUGAAACUCUUUUUAAUUAUUUGAAGCAAGUAAUUUGGAUUGGAGGGUGGUUGCAUAACUGAAGACCUCAAUCUUCUGGACACAUCAGCAAUACUGCACAUGGAACCGAGAAUACUUACCAGAUGGACGAUUCAUUGUUAGUGCUGAUCGGGAUUUUAAAAUUCGUUAUGAAUUUAUUAUUAGUUGGAUCUUUAUCUGCCCGGGCCAAGCAACUUCAGCCCCAUGAGUACAAUUCAGGGACUUUCACUCUU